rnacentral:misc_RNA from 1 species
UCCCUGUUACCAGGGCAGUCUCCUAUGAAAAUCCAACAUAGGACAAGGGUUUCGUUCGUUCAAGGACUUAACCUCACAGCUCACGCCACGAACUGACGACGACCGUGCAAUACCUGUCUCAGCGCUCCUUACGGCACUCUCUAGUUUCUUAGAGAUUCGCUGGAUGUCAAAUCUGGGAUAAGGUUUUCGCUUACUGUCGAAUUAAACCACAUGCUCCACCGCUUGUGCGAGUCCCCGCCAAUUUAUUUGAGUUUUAAUCUUGCGAUCGUACUUCCCAGGCGGUCUACUUGACGCGUUAGCUUCGCAACAGAAAGGGUCGACUCUUCCUAUUGCUAGUAGACAUAGUUUACAGCGUGGACUAC